GCGUGUAAUGAGAGGGGGAGACACGGUGAGGUGUGAUUUGCGGAAUAAGGGGGAGAGAAAAAUGGAAGAGAGGGGGAGACAGAGGGAGAUUUGUGUGGUGAGAAACCUACCAUUGCUAACAGAGAAUUUGUUUUUGUUAUUUUUGUGUGUGUGUUCAGGUGAUAUUGUUAAUGCUCGGACUGGACGCUGUUAUUUAAAGGAAAUGCCCACUCUGAACUUUUCAUGGCAUGUUUUUUUAAUCGGAUUCAACGCGAGGAGCUCCUGCUACAAGAGGGUUGUAUCUGGAAUUUAAAGAAAGGGAAAAUAAUGGGUCAUCAUCCAAAUCUAUUGUCAUUUUGUUGAUUUUUUAAAAUGUGAAAAUUAAAAACAAAGUGCUCCAGUCUGUGUUAUCUAUCAAAUAAGGCGCUAUAAUGAUAAAAGCUGAUUUUCUCUCGUCAGCUAGGCUAUAUGUUUAUAUGUAAGAGGCCCUAGGCUGCU